rnacentral:lncRNA from 1 species
GCAGUCUAGCUGGAAACUGUACUUUCAUAUCUAGGUGGAGCUUUGGGACCAGUUAUUGCAAAUGGAAAGAAUACAACAGAAAUCUCUUACUGCCUGUAUUUUGGUGACAGAAACUGCAAGUGCAUGAGCGCAUUGUAAAUGAGAGUAUAAGAGAAUGUAAAUGAGUUGUCUUAAGUGUCACAACCAGCAAUGAUACUGGAAAUAAAUCUCAAGAGUUUCUAUUCCCAGUUUCUGAUUGUUACGUAUCUGGAAUUAGAAGUGAAUAACAAGAUGAUCAUAUUUUACUCACUGUGAAGUACUGCUCACCUAAGGAAAUGCUCCUGACCGUAUUAUAAUGCUUGUGUAUUUGCCCGAAAAUUCCAAAGGGUAUGGAAAACUUUUUCAUCCAUUCUGGAUAAAUGAAGGUCUUUUUUGUGUGUACUGUCCACUAUUUGCAGAUGAUUCUUCUGUUUGUGCAUGUUACUUGCUUUAGCUUCAAGAAGUAAGAAGAAGAGCUGACAUUUUUUGAUCACUUGCUAAAUGAUAGCCACUUAAUUUAAUUAAUUUAAUUUUAAACCUUUAAACAACCUACAGAAUGGGAGAAAAUUUUUGCAAACUAUGCAUCCAACAAAGGUCUAAUAUCCAGCAUCUAUAAGGAUCUUAAACAAAUGCACAAAAAACCCGUUAAAAACUAGACAAAGGACAUGAACAGACACUUUUCAAAAGAAGACAUACAUGCAACCAACAAGCAUAUGAAGAAAAGCUCAACAUCACUGAUCAUUAAAGAAAUCCGAAUCAAAACCACAAUGAGAUACUGUCUCACACUAGUCAGAAUGGCUAUUAUUAAAAAGUCAAAAAACAACAGAUGCUGGCAAGGUUAUGGAGAAAAAGGAACCAUUAUACACUGUUGGUGGGAGUGUAAGUUAGUUCACUAUUGCAGAAGACAGUGUGGUGAUGUCUCAAAGACCUAAAGACAGAAAUACCAUUCAACCCAGCAAUCCCAUUACUGGAUAUAUACACAAAGGAAUAUAAAUCGUUCUAUUAUAAAGACACAUGAAUGUGUAUGUUGAUUGCAGCACUAUUCACAAAAGCAAAGACAUGGAAUCAACCUAAAUGCCCAUCAAUGAUAGACUGGAUAAAGAAAAUAUGGUAGAUACACACCAUAGAAUACUAUGCAGCCAUAAAAAUGAAUGAGAUCAUGUCUUUUGCAGCAACAUGGAUGGAGCUGGAGGCAAUUAUUCUUAGCAAAAGAAUGCAGGAACAGAAAAUCAAAUACCACAUGUUCUCACUUAUAAGUGGGAGCUAAAUGAUGAAAACACAUGGACUCAUAGAAGGGAACAACACACAAUAGGGACUACCAGAGGGUGGAGGGUGGGAAGAGGGAGAGGAUCAGAAAAAAUAAGUAAUGGGUACUAUGCUUAAUGCCUGGGUGAUUAAGUAAUCUGUACAACAAACCCCUCAACACGCGUUUACCUAUAUAACAAACCUGCACUUGUUCCCCUGAACUUAAAAGUAAACAAAACAAAACAAAAACCUUUAAAAGAUAAGCAUUAUCGCUAUCCCAAUUUUGCUAAUGAAGAAAUAGGAUUUGACAGGCGAUGUGUCUAGGUGUCAAAUAGUAAAUGACACAGGCUGGAUUUAUACAAAGCCAUGAUUGUCUGUAAGGUCGAUGGUCUAUUUAUUUUAUAACACUUCCUUCAUCUUUUUGUCUACUGAGCCCUUGCUAUAUCAAUGGUAUUGUAGUAGGUACUCAGAUGCUUUACAAGCCUCAUGAUACUUUUGUUUAUAAAGAAAUGAUUCAUUAUUGUACCUUGUUUUUUCUGUGUUUUCUCAGAUUUG